GAUGAACGCUGGCGGCGUGCCUAAUACAUGCAAGUCGAGCGAACGGACGAGAAGCUUGCUUCUCUGAUGUUAGCGGCGGACGGGUGAGUAACACGUGGAUAACCUACCUAUAAGACUGGGAUAACUUCGGGAAACCGGAGCUAAUACCGGAUAAUAUUUUGAACCGCAUGGUUCAAAAGUGAAAGACGGUCUUGCUGUCACUUAUAGAUGGAUCCGCGCUGCAUUAGCUAGUUGGUAAGGUAACGGCUUACCAAGGCAACGAUGCAUAGCCGACCUGAGAGGGUGAUCGGCCACACUGGAACUGAGACACGGUCCAGACUCCUACGGGAGGCAGCAGUAGGGAAUCUUCCGCAAUGGGCGAAAGCCUGACGGAGCAACGCCGCGUGAGUGAUGAAGGUCUUCGGAUCGUAAAACUCUGUUAUUAGGGAAGAACAUAUGUGUAAGUAACUGUGCACAUCUUGACGGUACCUAAUCAGAAAGCCACGGCUAACUACGUGCCAGCAGCCGCGGUAAUACGUAGGUGGCAAGCGUUAUCCGGAAUUAUUGGGCGUAAAGCGCGCGUAGGCGGUUUUUUAAGUCUGAUGUGAAAGCCCACGGCUCAACCGUGGAGGGUCAUUGGAAACUGGAAAACUUGAGUGCAGAAGAGGAAAGUGGAAUUCCAUGUGUAGCGGUGAAAUGCGCAGAGAUAUGGAGGAACACCAGUGGCGAAGGCGACUUUCUGGUCUGUAACUGACGCUGAUGUGCGAAAGCGUGGGGAUCAAACAGGAUUAGAUACCCUGGUAGUCCACGCCGUAAACGAUGAGUGCUAAGUGUUAGGGGGUUUCCGCCCCUUAGUGCUGCAGCUAACGCAUUAAGCACUCCGCCUGGGGAGUACGACCGCAAGGUUGAAACUCAAAGGAAUUGACGGGGACCCGCACAAGCGGUGGAGCAUGUGGUUUAAUUCGAAGCAACGCGAAGAACCUUACCAAAUCUUGACAUCCUUUGACAACUCUAGAGAUAGAGCCUUCCCCUUCGGGGGACAAAGUGACAGGUGGUGCAUGGUUGUCGUCAGCUCGUGUCGUGAGAUGUUGGGUUAAGUCCCGCAACGAGCGCAACCCUUAAGCUUAGUUGCCAUCAUUAAGUUGGGCACUCUAAGUUGACUGCCGGUGACAAACCGGAGGAAGGUGGGGAUGACGUCAAAUCAUCAUGCCCCUUAUGAUUUGGGCUACACACGUGCUACAAUGGACAAUACAAAGGGCAGCGAAACCGCGAGGUCAAGCAAAUCCCAUAAAGUUGUCCUCAGUUCGGAUUGUAGUCUGCAACUCGACUACAUGAAGCUGGAAUCGCUAGUAAUCGUAGAUCAGCAUGCUACGGUGAAUACGUUCCGGGGUC
rnacentral:rRNA from 1 species